UCAGGGUGGAUAGUUGGAGAAGUUGCAAGUGGAUGCUAGUUAUGGCAGUUGACCAGCGCAUCCGCCGGUUCAGCCGCCACGUUUCGUUGCCCAGAGUUAUUUUCAUCAUCAUUUUUGCUUUUUUGUUUAAUAUUUUUCUUUACAUAUACAUAUAUAUAGGUUUAUUUUAUUUUUUAUUAUUUUUCGUCCUUGCACGCUCUUCUGUUUGACUUUCAUAAAGUUUUAACGACUUUUGCCUCUGCUGUCAUAGCUCAAAAUGUCUAACAUGUUCAGCAGCCGCAGCAAAAAAACACUGAGGCAAAAAAAUCUCAAACAAAAUCAAAUAAAAAUAAUAUAGAAAAUAAGAGUAAGAGCAGGAGCAACAGGAAGAGGAAGAGGAGCAUGAAAGAGCAAAAACUUGUACAACUUUCGACUCGUGCUCGCUCGUAAGUAAUUUUGCAGUCUUCACUGGACAUCAACUUGGAUCGCCUUUCGCCAGUCAGCGACGCACUUGAGUUCGCUUCAUUUCAGCAUCAAUUUCUGCAGCCCCCGCCUCCUGCCUCUCGCCUGUUGCCCGUCCCCUCUCCAGCUCAGCCAGUUCGGCACACAUUGAUGCUCUAUUGAAAGCCUGGAUAAGUUGCACUCUCAUCCAAGAUCCAGCGCUAAACGCUUCUUAAAUGCUUUGCCUGCAACACGGACAACGUUGACAAGCAAUUACACGGGCUACACGAAUGCAGAUUGUAGAGAAUGCAUGACUCUCUGAUACCCUGUCAUGGGGGCUGUAGCUACAGCAGUCAUAAAUUUUGGAAUAGAGAUCAAUGACAAAUCAAUAUAGCAGCAGUACCUAAUAGUACCUAGGCUAGGCGAAAAUAUAUAUAUAUGAAUUGACAUAUACAAAGGGUUUAAGUAAAGUUAGUAUAUCAUUACAAUUUUGAGUCCUCAAGCCAGUCUAAUCAAGUUCAUAAGGUAUAUCUUGCAAAGUUAAAAUGCAAAUAUAUAUUUGAUUAAUCGAUAGACGCAAUUGAAUAGGGUAGGUAAUUGUAGUUGUAGUUUGGUAAAGUCAGAAGUAGUAAGAUUAAGGAUAAUAGUAGUAGGAGUAGUGUUAGAUUUGGUAAUGGCUGCAAUAGUAAUAGAAAUGUUAGUACUAGCUGAUAAUAAUAGGAAGUAUAAAUAAUAAUGGUAGUGGGAGUAAGAGUAAUAUGUAUUAGUAGAAAUGGUAAUAGCAUUUAGUAGUAGAACAAUUUGUGUUACUCGAAGUAUUGUAAAAUUGAUAGAAUAGGUAGUAGUAGAAGUAGUUGUAUAAAGAGUAUUAGAAGAAAUUGUAAAAAUUGUAAAAAAAUUUAUUAGAAGUACUUGUAAAUGAUUUAUUAUUUAGUAAUAGGGUUAGUUUUAUUUGUCAUGUAGGCAAAAGGAGUAGAAAUAGUUGAGCUAGCAUUAGUAAAAGUAGUAGUAGUAAUGAUCUUUUGAGAUUCACCUAAACAACCUUUCAUGCCUCUCGCUCUAAGUCUAUCACGAAUAUCACAUCACAGGAAAGCGAGAGAAAUCAAUAAGCUCUUUGAACUUGUUUGACAACAGUUAUAAUUAUUCCUCGGCACGUGUUAACUGUUUAUCGCCAUGAAGUGGCAAUUUGUAGGUCGCAUAAGUGUGAAGAACACAAGUUGAUGGCAAAUAAAUUGGAGAUAAAUUGGAGACAAAUUUCUUGGCAAACACUGGGAGCCUGUGCCAGAUCAAGUAUACGCAAUGAUAGCCCAGAACCAGCAUGGGUUAAAUUGAAACCAAAAUAUGUGACAAUUUCAACAAGAUUUCAAAAUUAAAUUUGACAUAAUUUAUAGCGUUUAACCACCACACACACACACACCCACACAGAUUCUCACACUCACCAACGGACGUGUCGGGCGAGCUGUAUAAAUAUACAAACACCAUAUGACAAAGCCCCCUUUCUCCCCUGCCCCACUUCCGUCGCCCUUGUUGCAUAUUGGUUGACCCCAACCAGAGCUGUGACUGCGUGUGUGAGUGUGUGUGUAUGUCCCUGGCUUUGGCUGAUUUCCGGCUGGAACCGCUGGUAGCCUACUAACCUCAAUAUGAUCUGGGCAUGGCAGCUGGAGGCGGCGACGGCGCAGCUGGCCGGAGGCGUGGCAGGAUGCGUUGUCCUGUCGGCCAAGUAUUUUGCAAUUAGUCAAUGCUCGUGGCACAGUUUUGCCGCCUGGCUGCCCUUGGCCACAAAUUAAAUCAUAUAAAUGGACAAUUAUUUAAUGGCCGGGCAGGAGUAGGGGGGUCGGCAGGCAGCCAGGCAGGCAGCCAGGCAGGCAGCCAGGCAGGCAGGCAGCAGGGCAGCCCGGCAAUAAAUCAAUUGGGAGCCAAAUGGCAAAUGGCAAAUGGAAACUGGAAAAUGGAAAAUGAGCUGCGCGCUGCGUAUCGACUUGAAAGUUGUGUGUAAAUAAAUGUAAAUUAAAAUGCAUAAUUUA